rnacentral:lncRNA from 1 species
CUAAACCAAGAAUUAUUGACCAAUUAAAAAAUAGAAAUCGAGCGCAAAUUUUAUCCGGAACAUUAAACGCGUCACACUAAAAUUGUCAGCACAAAACAUACUUAUUAAAAAAUACAGUCUUUUCCUCAAAUUCUGAAAUAAUUUUGUAUCGAUUAAAAAGACUCAGGCGGUUCAAGAUAUAACCGAAACAGUCACUGCUGACUUUGCCUGUCUUUGAGAAAUGAUUCAAUUGAUUGGUCUGUAUUUUCAAUAAAUUCAUUUUGAC